rnacentral:rRNA from 1 species
UACGAAGGUGGCAAGCGUUGUUCGGAUUUACUGGGCGUACAGGGAGCGUAGGCGGUUGGAUAAGCCCUCCGUGAAAUCUCCAGGCUUAACCUGGAAAGUGCAGAGGGGACUGUUCAGCUAGAGGAUGGGAGAGGAGCGCGGAAUUCCCGGUGUAGCGGUGAAAUGCGUAGAGAUCGGGAGGAAGGCCGGUGGCGAAGGCGGCGCUCUGGACUGCAUCUGACACUGAGGAACGAAAGCCAGGGGAGCAAACGGG